rnacentral:rRNA from 1 species
UCGCCCAUUAAAGUGGUACGCGAGCUGGGUUCAGAACGUCGUGAGACAGUUCGGUCCCUAUCCGUCGCAGGCGUAGGAAAUUUGAGAAGACCUGUCCUUAGUACGAGAGGACCGGGAUGGACGUACCGCUGGUGUACCAGUUGUUCUGCCAAGGGCAUGGCUGGGUAGCUAUGUACGGAAUGGAUAAGCGCUGAAAGCAUCUAAGCGCGAAGCCAACUUCAAGAUAAGAUUUCCCACCGCAAGGGUAAGACCCCAGAAAGACUAUCUGGUUGAUAGGUCGAAGGUGUAAGUGCAGCAAUGUAUUUAGCUUAUCGAUACUAAUAGGUCGAGGACUUGACCAAU